rnacentral:rRNA from 1 species
GAUGAACGCUGGCGGCGUGCCUAAUACAUGCAAGUCGAGCGAACAGACGAGGAGCUUGCUCCUCUGACGUUAGCGGCGGACGGGUGAGUAACACGUGGAUAACCUACCUAUAAGACUGGGAUAACUUCGGGAAACCGGAGCUAAUACCGGAUAAUAUAUUGAACCGCAGGGUUCAAUAGUGAAAGACGGUUUUGCUGUCACUUAUAGAUGGAUCCGCGCCGCAUUAGCUAGUUGGUAAGUUAACGGCUUACCAAGGCAACGAUGCGUAGCCGACCUGAGAGGCUGAUCGGCCACCCUGGAACUGAGACACGGUCCAGACUCCUACGGGAGGCAGCAGUAGGGAACCUUCCGCAAAGGGCGAAAGCCUGACGGAGCAACGCCGCGUGAGUGAUGAAGGUCUUCGGAUCGUAAAACUCUGUUAUUAGUGAAGAACAAAUGUGUAAGUAACUAUGCACGUCUUGACGGUACCUAAUCAGAAAGCCACGGCUAACUACGUG